rnacentral:sRNA from 2 species
CCAGCCGUGGCCCCACCUCGGUAUUAACUGGCACACACAAGGCGGCUACUGGUUCUCGGCCCAAGUGUGGCCUGCUCCUACCUCUCCACUCCAGGGCUGAUUUGUGGGCAGAUUCAAGUCUCGCAAAGAGCGGGAAGCUGAGCUUGGAGCCAAAGCCAAGGAAUUCACCAAUGUUUAUAUCAAAAACUUUGGGGAAGAGGUGGAUGAUGAGAGUCUGAAAGAGCUAUUCAGUCAGUUUGGCUGUGGAAGAGAUGAAUGGAAAAGAAAUAAGUGGUAAAAUCAUAUUUGUAGGCCGUGCACAAAAGAAAGUAGAACGG